rnacentral:rRNA from 1 species
UACAGAGGUGGCUAGCGUUGUUCGGAAUUACUGGGCGUAAAGGGUGCGUAGGCGGUCGUGCAAGUCGGAUGUGAAAUCUCAGGGCUCAACCCUGAAACUGCAUUCGAUACGGGCAGGCUAGAGUGUGGUAGGGGAGAUCGGAAUUCCUGGUGUAGCGGUGAAAUGCGCAGAUAUCAGGAGGAACACCGGUGGCGAAGGCGGAUCUCUGGGCCAUUACUGACGCUGAGGAGCGAAAGCGUGGGGAGCGAACAGG